GAGGGUAUAGCUUAGUGGUAGAGCAUGUGCUGAGUAUGCAUGAGGUCCUGGGUUCAAUCCCCAGGAACCCCA
rnacentral:tRNA from 1 species